AACGUAGGAGGCAAGCGUUAUCCGGAGUUACUGGGCGUAAAGCGCGUGUAGGUGGAUUGGUAAGUUACUUAUGAAAGCUCCUGGCUAAACUAGGAGAGGUUGAGUGAUACUGCCAGUCUUGAAUAGAGGAGAGGUUGACGGAAUUCCGCGUGUAGUGGUGAAAUGCUUAGAGAUGCGGAAGAACACCAGUGGCGAAGGCGGUCAACUGGCCUCAUAUUGACACUCAGACGCGAAGGCAUGGGUAGCGAACGGG
rnacentral:rRNA from 1 species